rnacentral:rRNA from 1 species
UACGUAGGUGGCAAGCGUUGUCCGGAUUUACUGGGCGUAAAGAGCGCGCAGGCGGUCGGAUAAGUCGAAUGUGAAAGCCCCCUGCUCAACUGGGGAGGGUCAUUCGAUACUGUUCGACUCGAAGGCAGGAGAGGGAAGUGGAAUUCCCGGUGUAGUGGUGAAAUGCGUAGAUAUCGGGAGGAACACCAGUGGCGAAGGCGACUUCCUGGCCUGUUCUUGACGCUGAGGCGCGAAAGCUAGGGGAGCAAACGGG